GGGUGUGUAGCUCAGCUUGGUAGAGCAGCGAUCUCCAAAGUCGUGGGUCGGGGGUUCGAAUCCCUCCUCACUCG
rnacentral:tRNA from 1 species